rnacentral:rRNA from 1 species
AACGAACGCUGGCGGCAUGCCUAACACAUGCAAGUCGAACGAAGGCUUCGGCCUUAGUGGCGCACGGGUGCGUAACGCGUGGGAAUCUGCCCUUUGGUUCGGAAUAACAGCUGGAAACGGCUGCUAAUACCGGAUGAUGACGAAAGUCCAAAGAUUUAUCGCCAGAGGAUGAGCCCGCGUUGGAUUAGGUAGUUGGUGGGGUAAAGGCCUACCAAGCCGACGAUCCAUAGCUGGUCUGAGAGGAUGAUCAGCCACACUGGGACUGAGACACGGCCCAGACCCCGAGGGGAGGCGGAGGGGGGGAAUAGUGAACAAGGGGCGAAAGCUUGACCAAGCAGUGCCGGGGGAGGGAGAAGGCCCUUGGGGUUGAAAGCCUCUUUCCCCCGGAAAGAAAAGGACGGUCCGGGGAAAAAAAGCCCGGGCAAACCCCGUG